AGCAGGGGUUCAGAUAAAAAAUCGGCAGCUGGCAGCAGGAAGUGGCUGCCAUUGACAGCCGGAAGGCAGUAACUGACAGCCGGAAGGCAGUAACUGGCAGCCGGAUGGUAGGCGGGACCUGCCGAUCGGUGGGAGCCAAUCAGUAUCGACCAACGUGGGCGCAACCAAUCAGAUAUAACUGCACCCAAACGCUUCAGUAAUGGUUGCGAUUGAUCAAAUGGUAAGUUCAGAAAUUGGUCAUCGGAGUAAUUAAUGUUUUUUUGCGUUGUAAGUUUGAUUUUAAUUGUUAUCUUGGUGAACGACUUGGUAGACUUGGUGCCUACUUUGGUUUAAUUGUUCAAUAAAAUCUAAUUAGUGGUAGCAACGUUGUUUGUGUACCUUGUUUGGGGCCUACCGUUUGACGUACCAUUAAAUUUGAACGUUUGUUAGCGUGUUAACAGUCUAUUGAAUAAUAUAAAAGAAUGUUGUUUGACUGGAAUGAUAGAAGAUAAAUGUGCAACACUAACCAUAUAUUUUUGCAUGUUAAGUCUUUCAGGAGAUUGUGUGAUAUACAUUAACUUAAGAGUUCUUAAAAGAAGAAUCCCUUUUUUUUUACACUAUUGAGGUGUGUUUUCUCUAAUACUAUGCAUGUGCAGAACUGUUCUGUGUACCAGUUGAAGUUGUAAGCAUGUGAAUGCACAACAAUUUUUUUUUUUUUUUUUUUACUAUAAUUUUUACAUUGAAGUAGCUUUUGUAAACAUGCAUUUAGAAAAGAAAAAAAAAACAUUACUGAUGUGUAUCUUGAGACAAAACCAUGGCAUUGACACCUUUUUUUUUUUUUUUUGUAAUACCCAAUUGUUGUCAGAUGCUGUCCUGUUGGAAAUUCUUCUUUACGUGAUCCUGGAGGAGGGUGAUGCUACAAUAUUAAGUCUGUCUUUGGUUUGUUCCAAAUUCAGAAGUCUGCUGUACUGUAUACAGACUCCUUUCGAAAGAGGGCACAAUCCAGCUGGCUUGACUGAGUAUUUUCUUUUACAUAUUUGAUUAGAGGUUUAAAAAGGUGCCAUAACAUUACAUUUCUCAGUUGCCAUGUCUGAAUGUUUAUCUUUGUAAUAAUGCUGUUUUCAUACUCCUCAUCUCAAUAUACAGGUGGAACAAAAUGGAGAACAAGUCUAAGCCAUGUCAGGAAUUCAACAAAAUGUACACCCUGCAGACACUGCGACGAGGUUUACAUCAACUGCUUACCAGGUCACUGCAGUCACGCGGAUCGAGUACGUAUCCAGACCAGAUGGUGGAUCGCACCUAGAAAGGACCUCUACUGCCCUGAAAGACAGCGGAGACCAGGACAACUAGAGCCCCAGAUACAGAUCCCCUGUAAAGACCUUGUUUUUACUCCAUUUUGUCACCGGUGGAGUUUUGGUUCCUUGUCGCCUCUGGCUUGCUUUGUUGUGGUCACUUCAUUUACAGCGAUCUCAUUGACAUGAUUGCAAAUGAUUCCACAGAUACUAUUUAAACUGAACCGAGCUGAAGGAUGACUUCACUGAAUUCAAUGAUAAACUGCCUUUUAAACUGACUACAAACUGAGUUUACUAAUGUCCUUCUGCAUUAUUGACUGACACACUAUUUUCCUAUUUAAUACUGUAAAGUUGCUUUGAUUUGAUCUGUAUUAUUAAAAGCACUAUAUAAAUAAACAAUGCUUGACUUGACCAUGUUGCAAGAGGAAAAUGAGGAGAGAUGCACAUCCACCCUGGGUUGUACAGUGAUUGGUGCAAGAUGCUGGAGAAGUAACUCCAUCAGAACUCCUCAGUUCUGAUCUAAGAGUCUUGAAAAUCCCUCCGGAUUGUUGUUAGUGAUUCUGAUUGAUAUUUUAGUCUGCUUGCUUACUGGAUAUAUUUUAUACUGUUUACAUUGUAAAGCACUGACUUUGACAACUUACUAACCCAGUUACAAAUUUAAAAGCUACUUUAUACUAGAUAUAUAUAUAUAUAUAGUUGUUUCUUGAAAUACUACAAAUAUAACCGCAAAUUAUGAUUUUAAAUAAAGGUCUCUGAGACUUCUCUCUUUUCAGUCAUUUGUGUAUAUAGCCUAUAAUAAAUAUACAACAUACACCCA